rnacentral:rRNA from 1 species
AACGAACGCUGGCGGCAUGCCUAACACAUGCAAGUCGAACGAGACCUUCGGGUCUAGUGGCGCACGGGUGCGUAACGCGUGGGAACCUGCCCUUAGGUUCGGAAUAACUCCCCGAAAGGGGUGCUAAUACCGGAUAAUGUCUUCGGACCAAAGAUUUAUCGCCUUUGGAUGGUCCCGAGUUGGAUUAGCUAGUUGGUAGGGUAAAAGCCUACCAAGGCGACGAUCCAUAGCUUGUCUGAGAGGAUGAUCAGCCACACUGGGACUGAGACACGGCCCAGACUCCUACGGGAGGCAGCAGUGGGGAAUAUUGGACAAUGGGCGAAAGCCUGAUCCAGUAAUGCCGCGUGAGUGAUGAAGGCCUUAGGGUUGUAAAGCUCUUUUAACCGGGAUGAUAAUGACAGUACCGGGAGAAUAAGCCCCGGCUAACUACGUG